CCUACGGGAGGCAGCAGUGAGGAAUAUUGGUCAAUGGACGAGAGUCUGAACCAGCCAAGUAGCGUGAAGGAUGACUGCCCUAUGGGUUGUAAACUUCUUUUAUAAAGGAAUAAAACGAGGCACGUGUGCCUUUUUGCAUGUACUUUAUGAAUAAGGAUCGGCUAACUCCGUGCCAGCAGCCGCGGUAAUACGGAGGAUUCGAGCGUUAUCCGGAUUUAUUGGGUUUAAAGGGUGCGUAGAUGGUAUGUUAAGUCAGUUGUGAAAGUUUGCGGCUCAACCGUAAAAUUGCAUUUGAUACUGGCAGUCUUGAGUACAGUUGAGGUAGGCGGAAUGCGUGGUGUAGCGGUGAAAUGCUUAGAUAUCACGAAGAACUCCGAUUGCGAAGGCAGCUUACUAAGCUGCCACUGACGUUGAUGCUCGAAAGUGUGGGUAUCAAACAGGAUGAGAUACCCGAGUAGUC
rnacentral:rRNA from 1 species